AGCGAACGCUGGCGGCGUGCCUAACACAUGCAAGUCGAACGGUUCUGUUGGGGGCUUGCUCUCGACAGAGUAGUGGCAAACGGGUGAGUAACACGUGGGUAAUCUUCCUUCGAGUGAGGAAUAACUUCGGGAAACCGGAGCUAAUACCGCAUAACAUCUUGGAACGGCAGUUUCAAGAUCAAAGGGGGCGCAAGCUCCCGCUUGAAGUUGAGCUCGCGUCCUAUCAGCUAGUUGGUGAGGUAAUGGCUCACCAAGGCUCCGACGGGUAGCCGGCCUGAGAGGGUGGCCGGCCACACUGGGACUGAGACACGGCCCAGACUCCUACGGGAGGCAGCAGUGGGGAAUAUUGCGCAAUGGACGAAAGUCUGACGCAGCGACGCCGCGUGGGUGAUGAAGGCC
rnacentral:rRNA from 1 species